UACGAAGGGGGCUAGCGUUGCUCGGAAUUACUGGGCGUAAAACGCACGUAGGCGGAUUGUUAAGUCGGGGGUGAAAUCCUGGAGCUCAACUCCAGAACUGCCUUCGAAACUGGCGAUCUUGAGUUCGGGAGAGGUGAGUGGAACUGCGAGUGUAGAGGUGAAAUUCGUAGAUAUUCGCAAGAACACCAGUGGCGAAGGCGGCUCACUGGCCCGAUACUGACGCUGAGGUGCGAAAGCGUGGGGAGCAAACAGG
rnacentral:rRNA from 1 species